CGGGCGGCCGUGACCCUGCUGGAGUGCGGGGGGGACCUCCAGCCCCCCGGGGGUUUCCUGCGCCUCCUCUGCCGAGGGUCCGGGUUCAGUUUUGGGAGCUACGAUAUGGACUGGGUGCGCCAGAGACCCGGGCAGGGUCUGGAGUGGCUCGCAGGGAUCAACACUGGUGGCAGCGCCUGGUACGCGCCGUCGGUCAAGGGUCGGUUCACGAUCUCCAGGGACAACGGGCAGAGCUCGGUGACGCUGACCAUGAACAACCUCAAGGAUGAGGAUUCCGGAUCCUAUUUCUGCGGGAAAUCUGCCUAUAACAAU